rnacentral:rRNA from 1 species
UACGUAGGGGGCAAGCGUUGUCCGGAAUCAUUGGGCGUAAAGAGCGUGUAGGCGGCCUGGUAAGUCCGCUGUGAAAGUCCAGGGCUCAACCCUGGAAUGCCGGUGGAAACUGUCAGGCUCGAGUCCGGAAGAGGAGAGUGGAAUUCCUGGUGUAGCGGUGAAAUGCGCAGAUAUCAGGAAGAACACCGGUGGCGAAGGCGGGUCUCUGGGCCGAUACUGACGCUGAGGAGCGAAAGCAUGGGGAGCGAGCAGG